GGAAGUUCAGUCAGGGGUCAAACUUGUUAUAAUUGGUUCACUUAACGAAAUUUUGCUUAACGAAGGUUUUUUUAGGAACAUAACCUCUUCGUUAAGUGGGGGUUGCCUGUAUAAUCAUGUCUUGUGACUUGAUGUGGUCAAGACCUGCAUUUGUCUUGCUAUGUGAGAUGGUAGAAAGCCAAUUGAUGCCUCUGGGACCCGAAAAAUGCCGAUUAUCCCAAACAGAAGAUGUGAUUGAAGUUGUUUGCCGAUAUAGCCCAGGACAUCAAGACUCGCUAUCCAAUAAUGGACAGUUUGACUGGAGAUCAAGCUCGUGCAAAGUAAAAAAAAAACAAAGGCAUAGUUCACAAGAGAACUAAAGAAAAUAAAGAAAGCUCUGAGCGGAUCGGCAGGGAAAACACCUUCAAAGUGGGAGUUUUUUGACUGCCUAGUCUUCCUGUCUACAAGCAGUGAGGAAUUCUUGUCUGAGGCAAGCUGGUUGGAACCACCACACCACAUGAAGAAGGUGUCCUCGUAGAUGACUUCGGGGAUAUCACUCUUCACACAGAUGGUAAUACAGCUGCUGUCAGUGACAGUGCUAGUAACAAUGAUGGAGGUUUUGAGACUCCAUCACCUGCGCUGGCAAGCUCGGCAUCAAGCAUUUCAGUGCAAGAAUCCCCUAGAUGACAAGUUAUCACCAUGUACAAAGAGAAACAGAAGAGCAAAGGCUUAUGAUAAAGCCCUUGAAUUUGCAAUGAGAAUGACGACCUAGCCACCACCACCACCACCACCCCGCACAUUCUCCAAUAAUAUUUGCUAUGUCAUCGAUGACCUUAUUAGUGGCCUCCCUUUUUUUAUUCAACAUGAUGUUGGAAUGGAGGUCAUGAAUAGUGUAAUUGAGGUCAUCAGAAAAGCCAAAAUAGAUAAUAAUUUGUAGGAUGUCUCUAAAUAAUUAGAUUUAAUAAAAAGUGUUUCUAGAAUUAAAUCUUUUAUUUCUGUAACUUGUGUUCUCAUAUACAUACAUACAACACGCACUUAUACACAUACGCAACAAACACACAGCCUAAUGUAGGAAGCACAUCCUAUUUUGCCAGGGUACACUACCUUCAUUAUUAAAAAAGUCUAAAUGUAUCCCUGACUUCCUGGGCCUCCCGUGUAUGGCCUCUGGCUAGCAAUGGCAGCCUUUCAAGUGCCUCAGGAGGAUGCUGGUGCCACUGAUUUUGAUGGAAGUUAAGAUUAUGCACAUCCUCCCUGUCUACCAUGUCCGGCGGCAGAUACAACUGCUUGGAGCUAACUCAUAGGUAGUUAUGCAAUGUGACAGCAGUAAGUGCAAUGUCCUUAGUUAUGGUAGGAGAUGCUCUGAUCGGUGAUCUAAAUACUUGAAAACGUGAAACCAUAAUUCCAAAAGCAUUUUCUGAUGUUCUACAGGCUCAUGAAAGGCAAUAAUUGAAUAUUCUAUUUUCAUCAGUUAACUGUCUUCCUGGAUAAGGUUUCAUUAAGUUAGAUUUAAGAGGAAAAGCUUCAUCUCUUACCAGAACAUAAGGACAUUGUUUGUCAGAAAAGGGAAGGGUGUUACUCGAGGGUAUGUUAAGGACAUUGUCUUACAUUUCUAAAGCCCUUUUCAGAGAACACCUGUCCCAAACUCUUCCAUCACUUGCCCUGCCACAAGCUCCAGCAUCUACAUAAAUAAAUUUGUAGUCAGCAUCCACCAGAGCUAAAAGUAUCAUGCUGAAAUGACCUUUAUAAUCAUAGAACUGAGACCCUGUAUUAGAUGUUUUUUUAAUAAGUAUUCUUUUACCAUCCAGGGCCCGCCCCUAAGCACAUUGGGAACUGCCAUUGUGAGUAAUAAUUGCUAGCAAUUUGCUGCCAUUCUUCUGUGGUGCUGGGCAUCUUCACAUAUGUUGGUUUUAAAACUUGGUAAAUCGCCUGACACAUCUCUGGGAUGAUCCUGCAGACCAGGUUGCGACUUACUCGAAACUGGUAAGCCAGGGAUUUCUGCAUCUCACCUGACAAAGAUAAUAGCGAUCCAUAAAUUAACAAACUCAGGAAAAUACUUUCGUCACAACCAACAAUUUAAUAAAACUUCAUCUGUGCUAACAAAACUUAACCUAACCAAACUCUAAUGAGAUGAAAAUAUUAAAUCCAACACCAAAAAUGUAUUUGGGUAUUUAGCCAAGGGGUUCCAAAACUUUUCACGUCAAAAUAAAUUCAGAAAGAAUGUCUUAUGAGUUUAUGUGGCAAAAAUGUGUGGUAAUAUCCUUUUGUUAAAGGCACAAAUGUCUUUGGGACAAGUUUUUCUUUUGUAUAACUAGUAUGUCAGAAUAAGACAAACCUAAUAAAAUAUAAAUCAAUAUUUUAUGAAUGGCUAAUAAACCCAGACUAUCCUAGCAUUAAUAGUUAUUAGUUUCAGCAAAGUGUAUCCACACAAUCUUAACCCUUAAGUUUACUACCUUCAUCCCUAAACUAAUCAAUAUCACUGGUACAUUUUCUGUUAAGUUUAGCUCCAAGAUAUUUGCUCUUGAAAUCUCACACUAAUAAACAUUUAUUUAGGUACUUGUGUAUUUAUCUAUUUUAUGACAUCUGAACUGGCUCAAAAUUUUAUAAUAAGAAUGGCAUUCUCACCUGUUGCAAGGUAUCUUAAAGUGAGCAUGAACUGCUCCCAGCACUGACAGGCUGCCUCAUGUUGGAUGUUGGUGCCCUGUUUUUCAAUGAGAGGCAUCACAAGUUGUAGCACAUGCUGAUAUUGGGUGCGGUCGAAGCGAAUCCACUCCCAAAGUAAAUCUAGGUCCUCCAAACUGAGCUCCCUCACCAGCCUGAAGUAGACGCUCUCCUGACGCCUUCUUGAGAGCCAGGGGCGCGUCCAGACACUGGGUGGUUCAUCCCGCUCCCUCAAGAGACAGAUAGUUAACAGUAGGUAGCCACACUACUGCUGAGUGAGGUCUCUCAUUCCUUAAUUUCUGAAGUGUUGUGUGUAAGUCGCCAUGGCCGUGUGUUGGUAAACAUUGGUAAGUUCGAUACCGGCCGCUAGGUGCACUGCCGCUCUUAGCAGCAAAUUCCCAAACCAUGUGAGCGGAGAUCCAGCAAGGAGGGAAACAGUUUCCUCGGCAAGGGAAACAAAGGAUCCCAGAACUUGGGGAAACAUUGCUCGUGUGAACCCGCUUUAGACUUGCCGGAUUAUGGAAAAUUCUGAACUAUAGGUGGUCCCCAAAACACUCUCUAUAUAUAUAUUUACCCUGCAUUAUACAAGUCUAGCUGUAACAUUGUUUUGAUAUAUGAUAGUUGUACAUGAAAAUAUACAUGCAGAAGUAUAUAGAAAAACACGUAAAUUAAGUUCAGCAUGGAAAAUUUUUGCCUGUGCCAUUAUCAUCUCACUGGACACAGGGACGUUACCAGAGCGCCGAAACUUAAACCACUGUAUGAGAGCAUUGUCUAAAUCACUGCUUUUAGCCUCCUUAAGUGUUCUACAAACCUCCAUGUUCUUGCUCUCACACUCACUGUAAAACUUGAGAAGUUGAUUCUUCUGCUUUUUUAUAUCAUAGACAGUUCAUGAGCCAAUGUUAUACUGUUGGCAUAGGCUCCACACUGAAACACCUUU